CUACCUUGUGCGACUUCACCCCAGUCAUGAAUCCUACCGUGGUAAUCGCCUCCUUACGGUUAGGCUAACUACUUCGUGAAACCACUCCCAUGGUGGCCAGGCGGUGUGCUUCGACCCGGAACUAUUCACCGCGACAUGCUGAUCCGCGAUUUUCUAGCGAUUCCGACUUCCUGCCAGUCGAGUUGCAGACUGCGAUCGGACUUUGAUCGGGUUUCAGGAUUGGCUCCUGCUGGGUUGGCGACCUCUGUCGACAACCAUUGUGUUGCGGCAUGCGAGAAGCCCUGCCCAUAAGGAGCCAUGAGGACUUGACGUGUAUCCCACCUUCCUCCGGUUUUGUCUGCGACAGUCUCAUUAGAGUGCCUUUCGUAACCAAUGACAAGGGUUGCGCUCGUUGCGGGACUUAACCGGCAUCUCGUACGACUGACGACAAAACACCCAGCACCUGUGUUCCGGUUUCUCUUGACACUCCCAAAUCUCUUCAGGAUUUGAACAUGUCAAGGGUAGACAGGUUUUCGCGUUGCAUGAAUUAAUCCAGCAUCAUCCACCGCUUGUGCGGGUCCCGUCAAUUCUUCGGUUUAAUCACCACAAUAUACUCCCCAGGCGGUCAACUUCACGUGGCGCUACGCCCCUGCAGGCCAUUUUAAGCAGCUAGUUGACAUCGUUUGGGCGUGGACUACAGGGUAUCUAAUCUGUUGCUCCCCACGCUUUCGUGCGCGAGGCGUCCCGAGUGGUGUUAUCCCAGGAGCUGCCUUCGCCGCAUCGGUGUUCUCAUAUCCGCAUUUCUGCUACACGCGAAUUCCCUCCCCUCUGACACUCCUAACCAGUAGUUAAAAGAAUACGGUUCAAAAGUUAAACUCUGGAUUUCAUCUUCUUUCAGAACCGCCUGCGCACACUUUUACGCCCAGUAAUUCCGAUUAACGCACUUCGUAUUACCGCGGCUGCUGGCACGUAGUUAGCCGGUACUUAUUCUGAGUUACCGUCGGUUGCACGGGUAUUAUCCAAUACUGUUCUUUCCUACCAAAAAGUGCUUUACAACCCGAAGAAUGUCAUCUUCGCGCAGGAUGGCUGGAUCGAGGUUUCCUAAUGUCCAAAAUUCCCACUGCUGCCUCCCACGUAGGAGUCUGGAGGCCGUGUCAGUCCCAGUGUGGCUGGUCGUCCUCUCAAACCAAGCCACGGAUCGUCGCCUUGGUGAGCCGUUACCCACCAAUAGCUAAUCCACGAUAUCGGCCGCUCUAAUAGUUGCGAGGCCCGGGUCCCCGCUUUCCCCGAAGGGCCAUGUACGGUGUGCUUCAACUUUCGUAGUUAUCCCCACUUCUGAAGCACGGGCCCGAUACACCAGUACUCACCCGUUCGCCCUCGCCACCAGAUAAGUCCGUGCCGUUCGACUUGCAUGUGUAAAGCAUCCGCAAGCGUUCAAUCUAAGACCGCAGAUCGUUCC
rnacentral:rRNA from 1 species